rnacentral:rRNA from 1 species
CUACGGGUGGCUCCAGUGAGGAAUAUUGCACAAUGGGGGGAACCCUGAUGCAGCAACGCCGCGUGGAGGAUGACGCAUUUUGGUGUGUAAACUCCUUUUAUAUGUCAAGAAAAUGACGGUAGCAUAUGAAUAAGCACCGGCUAACUCCGUGCCAGCAGCCGCGGUAAUACGGAGGGUGCAAACGUUACUCGGAAUCACUGGGCGUAAAGGACGCGUAGGCGGGUUGGAAAGUCAGGUGUGAAAUCCUACAGCUUAACUGUAGAACUGCACUUGAAACUUCUAAUCUAGAGUAUGGGAGGGGGAGAUGGAAUUAGUGGUGUAGGGGUAAAAUCCGUAGAUAUCACUAGGAAUACCUAAAGCGAAGGCGAUCUCCUGGAACAUUACUGACGCUAAGGCGUGAAAGCGUGGGGAGCAAACAGGAUUAGAUACCCUAGUAGUC